GGCCUGAUGGUCUAGUAGCAUGAUUCUUCCUUUGGGUCUCAGUGCUUCUGAGUCAUUGGAAGAGGUCCUGGGUUCAAUUCCCAGUCAGGCCC